rnacentral:rRNA from 1 species
GGUGGUUUGUCGCGUUGUUCGUGAAAUCUCACGGCUUAACUGUGAGCGUGCGGGCGAUACGGGCAGACUUGAGUACUGCAGGGGAGACUGGAAUUCCUGGUGUAGCGGUGGAAUGCGCAGAUAUCAGGAGGAACACCGGUGGCGAAGGCGGGUCUCUGGGCAGUAACUGACGCUGAGGAGCGAAAGCGUGGGGAGCGAACAGGAUUAGAUACCCUGGUAGUCCACGCCGUGAACGGUGGGUACUAGGUGUGGGUUUCCUUCCUUGGGAUCCGUGCCGUAGCUAACGCAUUAAGUACCCCGCCUGGGGAGUACGGCCGCGAGGCUAAAACUCAAAGAAAUUGACGGGGGCCCGCACAAGCGUCGGAGCAUGUGGAUUAAUUCGAUGCAACGCGAAGAACCUUACCUGGGUUUGACAUGCACAGGACGCCGGCAGAGAUGUCGGUUCCCUUGUGGCCUGUGUGCAGGUGGUGCAUGGCUGUCGUCAGCUCGUGUCGUGAGAUGUUGGGUUAAGUCCCGCAACGAGCGCAACCCUUGUCUCAUGUUGCCAGCGGGUAAUGCCGGGGACUCAUGAGAGACUGCCGGGGUCAACUCGGAGGAAGGUGGGGAUGACGUCAAGUCAUCAUGCCCCUUAUGUCCAGGGCUUCACACAUGCUACAAUGGCCGGUACAAAGGGCUGCGAUGCCGCGAGGUUAAGCGAAUCCUUUUAAAGCCGGUCUCAGUUCGGAUCGGGGUCUGCAACUCGACCCCGUGAAGUCGGAGUCGCUAGUA